rnacentral:rRNA from 1 species
CGGCGNUGUAAUAAGACAUGCAAGUCGAACGGGGGGUUUGAUGUAGCAAUACAUUGGGCCUCCAGUGGCGAACGGGUGAGUAACACGUGAGCAACGUGCCCGGAAGAGCGGAAUAGCCCAGGGAAACUUGGAUUAAUGCCGCAUGUGGCCGGUCAGGGCAACCUGACAUGGUCAAAGGUGGGGAUCGCAAGACCCGCCGCUUCCGGAUCGGCUCGCGGCCUAUCAGCUUGUUGGCGGGGUAACGGCCCACCAAGGCUACGAUGGUUAGCUGGUCUGAGAGGAUGAUCAGCCACACUGGAACUGAGACACGGUCCAGACUCCUACGGGAGGCAGCAGUGGGGAAUUUUGCGCAAUGGGGGAAACCCUGACGCAGCAACGCCGCGUGAGUGAUGAAGGCUUUCGGGUCGUAAAGCUCUGUCAGAGGGGAAGAAAUGCAUUGGUGCUAAUAUCAUCUUUGCUUGACGGUACCCUCAAAGGAAGCACCGGCUAACUCCGUGCCAGCAGCCGCGGUAAUACGGAGGGUGCGAGCGUUGUUCGGAAUUAUUGGGCGUAGAGCGCGUGUAGGCGGUCUUUUAAGUCUGAUGUGAAAGCCCCGGGCUCAACCCGGGGAAGUGCAUUGGAAACUGGGAGACUUGAAUACGGGAAANGGUANUGGAAUCCUAGUGUAGGAGUGAAAUCCGUAAAUNUUAGGAGGAACACCGGUNGCNAAGGCGGCUACUGGACCGAUAUUGACGCUUAGACGCGAAACGUGGGUAGCAAACAGGAUNAAUACCUGGUANUCCCGCCNUAACAAUNANUAUA